AUGGCGCUCCCGGAUGAACUCCUGGAGGAGAUCUUCCUCCGCCUCCCCGCGGCCGCCGACCUCGCGCGCGCCUCCGCGGCCUGCGUCUCCUUCCGCCGCGUCAUCGCCGGCCAUCCCUUCCUCCGCCGAUUCCGCGUCCUCCACCCGCCGCCUCUCCUGGGCAUCCUCUGCUGGGAUCUCACCCCGGCCCAGCCGCCCCACCCUUCAGCCGCCGCGGCGGCCACCUACGCCGACGCAGACUUCUCCUGCCCCUUCCUCCCCCCGUCCCCCGGCCGCUGGUGCCGCCGCGACGCUGUAGCUCCCCCAAAUCUCAUCCACCGGCCGGCCCUAAUGGCGCUCCCAGAUGAACUUCUGGAGGAGAUCUUCCUCCGCCUCCCCGCGGCCGCCGACCUCGCCCGCGCCUCCACGGCCUGCGUCUCCUUCCGCCGCGUCAUCACCGGCCAUCCCUUCCUCCGCCGGUUCCGCACCCUCCACCCGCCGUCCCUCCUCGGCAUCCUCUGCGGCGGCCUCAUCCCCGCCCAGCCGCCCCACCCUUCCGCCGCAGCGGCAGCCACCUACGCCGACGCCGACUUGUCGUGCUCCUUUAUGCCCCCACCCCGCGACCGCUGGCGCCACCGCGACGGCCGCGCCCUUUUCUCCCCCGCCCUCGAGGGGAUCGGCGGCGACUACAGCCCUAGCCACCUGGUCACGGAGUUCGCCGUCUGCGACCCCCUGCACCGUCGUUACCUCCUGCUGCCUGCCCUCCCCGACCUUCUAGUCGGUCAAGUCCAUAGGCCGGACAUCGUGGACUGCGAGGCCUUCCUCGCUCCUCCUGGCCCUGACGACGUUGGGGCUGACUGGUCGUCAUUCAGAGUCAUGUACUUGGUGCGGUGCACAGCCAAGCUCUUGCUCUUCGUCUUCUCCACCUGCGCCGGACAAUGGCUCGCUAAUCCUGUUACAGUUGACGUGUUUCGAUGCGGGGCGGCGUUGCACCGCUUCUACGCCCAUGGCUGCUUCUAUUGGGAGGUUUUCCGGUCUAACAAGUUGCUCGUGCUCGAUGCGCGCAGGAUAGAGUUCUCCACUGUUGACCUCCCGCCUCCACCUGGCCCUGAUGUGCGAAAGAUGGCCAUUGUAGAGGCAGGAGGAGGAAGGCUUGGGAUGCUUACUAUCUCUGAGCAUCCUGAACCUGGUGCAGAUCAUCUCCUGUAUGCCGUACAGUCUAAGGAUGUGAAUGGCAGAAACCAGUGGCAAUCCAAGUCAGUAAUUUAUUUGCCGGAAAAUUAUCGCUAUGGCAUCAUGGGUGUAGCUGGUGGAUACUUACUCCUAACUGGGUAUCCAGAAGACGACAUGCCAAUCAGCUAUUUUUCACUGAAUCUCCAGAAUUUUCAGGUUGAGUGCUUCUGUCAGACUGGUGAUAAAGUCAUUUUUGGUGACCUGUAUGCCGAUCUCCCACCGUCCUUGUCCCCACCAACUCUUUGA
rnacentral:rRNA from 1 species